rnacentral:siRNA from 1 species
GGGGUUGAAGUUUGGGCUCUAUCU